CAGUGUAUAGCUCAGUGGUAGAGUGCCUACUUAGCAUGCACAAGGUCCUGGGUUCAAUCCCCAGUACCUUUA
rfam:Camelus ferus unplaced genomic scaffold scaffold429, whole genome shotgun sequence.